rnacentral:tRNA from 1 species
GCCCCUGUAGCUCAACGGAUGAGCAGCGGUUUACGAAGCCGUGGCAUGCAGGUUCGAAUCCUGUCAGGGGCUC